rnacentral:rRNA from 1 species
GACGAACGCUGGCGGCGUGCUUAACACAUGCAAGUCGAACGGAAAGGCCCUGCUUUUGUGGGGUGCUCGAGUGGCGAACGGGUGAGUAACACGUGAGUAACCUGCCCUUGACUGUGGGAUAACUUCAGGAAACUGGGGCUAAUACCGGAUAGGAGCUCCUGCUGCAUGGUGGGGGUUGGAAAGUUUCGGCGGUUGGGGAUGGACUCGCGGCUUAUCAGCUUGUUGGUGGGGUAGUGGCUUACCAAGGCUUUGACGGGUAGCCGGCCUGAGGGGGGGACCGGCCACAUUGGGACUGAGAUGCGGCCGAGACUCCUACGGGAGGCAGCAGUGGGGGAUAUUGCACAAUGGGCGGAAGCCGGCUGACGCAACGCCGCGUGCGGGAUGACGGCCGUCGGGUUGUAAACCGCUUUCGCCUGUGACGAAGAGUGAGUGACGGUAAUGGGUAAAGAAACACCGGCUAACUACGUG